GACGAACGCUGGCGGCGUGCUUAACACGUGCAAGUCGAGCGCCCCGCAAGGGGAGCGGCAGACGGGUGAGUAACGCGUGGGAACCUACCCUUUUCUACGGAAUAACGCAUGGAAACGUGUGCUAAUACCGUAUACGCCCUACGGGGGAAAGAUUUAUCGGAGAAGGCAGGGCCCGCGUUGGAUUAGCUAGUCGGUGGGGUAAAGGCCUACCAAGGCGACGAUCCAUAGCUGGUCUGAGAGGAUGAUCAGCCACAUUGGGACUGAGACACGGCCCAAACUCCUACGGGAGGCAGCAGUGGGGAAUAUUGGACAAUGGGCGCAAGCCUGAUCCAGCCAUGCCGCGUGAGUGAUGAAGGCCCUAGGGUUGUAAAGCUCUUUCACCGGAGAAGAUAAUGACGGUAUCCGGAGAAGAAGCCCCGGCUAACUUCGUGCCAGCAGCCGCGGUAAAAC
rnacentral:rRNA from 1 species